AUUAAGACUCUCAGCAACGGAUAUCUCGGCUCUUACAUCGAUGAAGAACGUAGCGAAAUGCGAUACUUGGUGUGAAUUGCAGAAUCCCGUGAACCAUCGAGUCUUUGAACGCAAGUUGCGCCCGAGGCCUUCGGGUCGAGGGCACGCCUGCCUGGGCGUCACGC
rnacentral:rRNA from 1 species